GACGAACGCUGGCGGCGUGCCUAAUACAUGCAAGUAGAACGCUGAAGGAGGAGCUUGCUUCUCUGGAUGAGUUGCGAACGGGUGAGUAACGCGUAGGUAACCUGCCUGGUAGCGGGGGAUAACUAUUGGAAACGAUAGCUAAUACCGCAUAAGAGUAGAUGUUGCAUGACAUUUGCUUAAAAGGUGCAAUUGCAUCACUACCAGAUGGACCUGCGUUGUAUUAGCUAGUUGGUGGGGUAACGGCUUACCAAGGCGACGAUACAUAGCCGACCUGAGAGGGUGAUCGGCCACACUGGGACUGAGACACGGCCCAGACUCCUACAGGAGGCAGCAGUAGGGAAUCUUCGGCAAUGGACGGAAGUCUGACCGAGCAACGCCGCGGGAGUGAAGAAGGUUUUCGGAUCGUAAAGCUCUGUUGUAAGGGAAGAAAGAGUGUGAGAGUGGAAAGUUCACACUGUGACGGUAUCUUACCAGAAAGGGACGGCUAACUACGUG
rnacentral:rRNA from 1 species